CCGGCGUCGAGAGGCCCGGCGGCCAUGGCGGGAAGCGAGGCAGGAAGCGAGCCGGGCCCCUCGCCGCCGCCCGCAAGCGACUGGGGCCGCCUGGAGUCGGCCAUCCUCAGCGGCUGGCGGACCUUCUGGCAGUCGGUGGGCAAGGAGCGGGCGGCAAGGACGGCCUCUCGCGAGGAGGCGGGGGAGGAGAGCAGCGUCCUGACGCGGCUGCCGGUUGAUGUACAACUAUAUAUUUUGUCAUUUCUUUCACCAUAUGAUCUGUGUCAGUUGGGAAGUACAAAUCAUUAUUGGAAUGAAAUUGUACGGGAUCCAAUUCUGUGGAGAUACUUUCUUUUACGGGAUCUUCCUCGUUGGUCUUCUGUUGACUGGAAAUCUCUUCCAGAUCUAGAAAUCUUAAAAAAGCCUGUAUCUGAAGUCACUGACAGUGCAUUAUUUGAUUACAUGGCUGUUUAUAAAAUGUGCAGUCCAUGUACAAGAAGAGCUUUGAAAUCCAGCCGUCCUAUGUAUGGAGCCGUCACCUCCUUUUUACACUCGUUGAUCAUUCAGAAUGAACCACGAUUCGCUAUGUUUGGACCAGGUUUAGAAGAACUGAAUACAUCUUUGGUGUUGAGCUUGAUGUCUUCUGAUGAACUUAGUCCAACUGCUGGUUUACCUCACAGACAGAUUGAUGGUAUUGGAUCAGGAGUCAGUUUUCAGUUGAGCAACCAACAUAAAUUCAACAUCCUGAUACUGUAUUCAACUACAAGAAAGGAAAGGGAUAGAGCAAGGGAAGAACAUACAAGUGCAGUUAACAAGAUGUUCAACCUGCAGCUUGAAGGAGAUGACCAACAGAGAAGCCGGUACAGUGUAAUUCCACAAAUUCAAAAGGUCUGUGAAGUUGUAGAUGGGUUCAUCUAUGUUGCAAAUGCUGAAGCUCAUAAAAGACAUGAAUGGGAAGAUGAAUUUUCUCACAUUAUGGCAAUGACAGAUCCAGCUUUUGGAUCUUUAGGAAGACCAAUGCUGGUUUUAUCUUGUAUUUCUGAAGCACAUGUAAAAAGAAUGCCUUGUUUUUAUUUGGCCCAUGAACUGCAUCUCAGUCGCAUAAACCACCCAUGGAUGGUCCAGGAUAUGGAAGCUGAUACUCUCACUGGCUUUCUGAAUGGCAUUGAGUGGAUUCUUGAAGAAGUAGAAUCUAAGCGGGCAAGAUGAGCCUCACUUUGGACCUUCAGAACUAGAAAACCUUCCAGAGACUUGCAUGUAUAGUAUUACCAUUUUCUACAAAUUGCUUGCAGUUUGCAAAGGCAGUCAACCAAGUAUGUCAUUAUAUAUGAAGAACUUUAAAAUUAUGGUGGAGAAAUCUUGAGAUUCAGAAAAGUGAAGAAUUCUGUUAUAAAGUUAUAUUAUCUCACCGUUCAAUUUCCUGGAUUUUGGUGACUGGAGAAUUCAGCUUAUAGAUCCCUGGCAAGUGAGGAAGUGGUUUUGAAGUGAAAAGAGUUUAUUGCAAAGCAGGAGAUGGCUCACAAACAAGCCAGGACUCCCCAGAAUGUGGGCAACAGUAGUUUCUUUGUUUUGGUUUCAUUUUGCUAUACUUUUUGACUUUGUUUAUUCCUUAUCCUGUUCUUACAUAUUCAUGAUUUACUCCUGCACUGCUUUUAGUUUUGAAGUAUGCGUGAUUUUCCCCCUUUUUCUGGAGCCUUAAGCAGGUAAUAAUGAGGACUGGUUACCCCAAGGAUCUCUGGGCAGUUAAGGUGCACAUUCUACUGAAUGGAAAAUCCCCUUAUGGUUAGUUUGUGGUUAUCUCUCCCCAGGGUCUUUUUCCAGUUGGUUGAGACCAUUUAAGCUGAUACAGCACCCACCUCCUGUCAUCAGUGAAAGCAGCCUGUAGCAGCUCCAUCAGCUUCAACCAUCUGCCCACUCUCCCCACACAUUUCAUUAGCUGCCUGUAAUGGUGUGGCUAGUAGAGAGAACGUGAAGUGUGGACCCUUAAAAAGAUUGACAAGCUAUUAAUGGUUAAACAAUCAAUUUAAACUCUACUAUGGGUCACUAAAUUCUCAUCACUGCUGUAUUUUAAUAUCUAGCGAUAAAGCAAAGCAAACAUGCAUGCAGGUUCUGGUAUUGAAAGUAAAGUAACAAAUUCAAGUUAUAUAACUCUUGUCUGCAUGACAGUCAGAUUGCUCCCUCAAUUCUGAACCUUGAGAUUUUCCUAUAUAGAAUGAGGAUCAUUAUAUUUGCCUUGGAUUUAAGUUUUACUAUAUCUAGAAGUAAAUGUCAGUAAGCAACUUCUCUAUGGGAGGGCCUAAUUCUUGACACUAACAUUCGAAAUUGGACUUUUCAGUGUCAUUUUCUGAAAUGGUUAUCCUUCCACAUGACAGCUAUUUUACAGGUAUGAUUAGUCAUAUAAAAAAUAAGCAUAGUGUUCAUCAUAAUUUUAUUACCAUCAUUAAAAACUUGUACAUGUGUGCCCUUGUAGAUAGGGUGUUCUAAAACUGCAGCUAAAUAAGCGUAUGCUAAAGAAAUGAGCGCUUUAUUUAUACCCAGAAAAAAAUAUCAUUUUUCACAUUAUUGUCAAAAUAGUUUCCCUGAACAUUGAGAUGAGUCUAAUUCCUCUACUGAGGAAUUUUUAGUGGCUUACCAUCUCCUGAAAAAUAUGGUCUACAGUUUCUAGUCUGCUGUCACAUUAGGAAAGAGGAACUUUUUGUCUUUUGCCACUUUUAGUGACAUAAAAACUGAUGGGUUGUACAAUUAUAAUUGUUACCAUGAUGAUGAACUGUACUCAGAUUUUUUCAUGAAACAUUUCUAAAUAAAUCAGAAGUAUGAGACUAGA